CAAGCUUAGCAACUCCAUGAUCUUCUUCAAAGUUACCCAUGUAGCAGAUGAAUUCCACAAGUCACAGUUUCAAAAUAAAAGCUUCACAAUGAUCAUGUUGCAUAUGAACUCAAAUGGAUCUUCAAAAAUGUAUCAGAUGAAGUUUCAAAUUGCAAGAACUGGGUUACAUAAAAGUUGGCUAUGGCCAAGUCCUUUGCACAUGGAGUGUUGCCUAAAUUCUAAGUCCAAUUGUCUCAGAUCAAACCAUAAGUCCACACAAGAUAUUUUUUAAGGUUUUUGUUCUUAUUAUGUACAUUAAUAGGCCAAGACCACACAAACAAAC
rnacentral:lncRNA from 1 species